rnacentral:rRNA from 1 species
UACAGAGGGGGCAAGCGUUGUUCGGAAUUACUGGGCGUAAAGGGCGCGUAGGCGGCCUGCUAAGUCGAACGUGAAAUCCCCGGGCUCAACCCGGGAACUGCAUCCGAUACUGGCAGGCUUGAAUUCGGGAGAGGGAUGUGGAAUUCCAGGUGUAGCGGUGAAAUGCGUAGAUAUCUGGAGGAACACCGGUGGCGAAGGCGGCAUCCUGGACCGAGAUUGACGCUGAUGCGCGAAAGCCAGGGGAGCAAAGCGGG